UGCUCUUCCCUGCCAGAAGACUCCGGCAACUGCGGUAACCCCCAAACAUCCGGCAAUAAGACCCGGAGCAACACGAAGGAGGAAGCAGAACAUGGCACAGGGCAAGGUAAAAUGGUUCAACGACGCAAAGGGUUUCGGUUUCAUCGAGCAGGAAAAUGGCGACGAUGUAUUCGUGCACUUUUCCGCCAUCCAGGGAGAAGGUUUCAAGUCGCUGGCAGAGGGCCAGGCGGUGACAUUCGAUGUCAUCAAUGGACCUAAAGGGCUUCAGGCUUCCAACGUUCGCAAGAUCUAAAUCAAAAUUCUCCCGAUCAAUCACAAGGCCCUGACGGAACAACCGCCAGGGCCUUUAUA
rnacentral:sRNA from 1 species